AGAGUUCGAUUCUGGCUCAGGAUGAACGCUGGCGGCGUGCCUAACACAUGCAAGUCGAACGGGGCGCGCCGGCGGGGGCCCUCCGGGGCUGAAGCCGGCGCCGCCCAGUGGCGGACGGGUGAGUAACGCGUGGGCAACCUGCCCCGCACUGGGGGACAACAGCCGGAAACGGCUGCUAAUACCGCAUGGGCGCACAGCCCCGCAUGGGGCGGUGCGGAAAGCCUUGGCGGUGCGGGAUGGGCCCGCGUCUGAUUAGCUUGUUGGCGGGGCAACGGCCCACCAAGGCGACGAUCAGUAGCCGGCCUGAGAGGGUGGGCGGCCACAUUGGGACUGAGACACGGCCCAAACUCCUACGGGAGGCAGCAGUGGGGGAUAUUGCACAAUGGGGGGAACCCUGAUGCAGCGACGCCGCGUGGGCGAUGGAGCGCCUCGGCGCGUAAAGCCCUAUCAGCAGGGAAGAAAAUGACGGUACCUGACUAAGAAGCCCCGGCUAAAUACGUGCCAGCAGCCGCGGUAAUACGUAUGGGGCAAGCGUUAUCCGGAUUUACUGGGUGUAAAGGGAGCGCAGGCGGCCUGGCAAGCCUGAUGUGAAAUACCGGGGCCCAACCCCGGGGCUGCAUUGGGAACUGCCAGGCUGGAGUGCCGGAGAGGCAGGCGGAAUUCCUAGUGUAGCGGUGAAAUGCGUAGAUAUUAGGAGGAACACCAGUGGCGAAGGCGGCCUGCUGGACGGUGACUGACGCUGAGGCUCGAAAGCGUGGGGAGCAAACAGGAUUAGAUACCCUGGUAGUCCACGCCGUAAACGAU
rnacentral:rRNA from 1 species